GAUGAACGCUGGCGGCGUGCCUAAUACAUGCAAGUCGAGCGAACGGACGAGAAGCUUGCUUCUCUGAUGUUAGCGGCGGACGGGUGAGUAACACGUGGAUAACCUACCUAUAAGACUGGGAUAACUUCGGGAAACCGGAGCUAAUACCGGAUAAUAUUUUGAACCGCAUGGUUCAAAAGUGAAAGACGGUCUUGCUGUCACUUAUCGAUGGAUCCGCGCUGCAUUAGCUAGUUGGUAAGGUAACGGCUUACCAAGGCAACGAUGCAUAGACGACCUGAGAGGGUGAUCGGCCACACUGGAACUGAGACACGGUCCAGACUCCUACGGGAGGCAGCAGUAGGGAAUCUUCCGCAAUGGGCGAAAGCCUGACGGAGCAACGCCGCGUGAGUGAUGAAGGUCUUCGGAUCGUAAAACUCUGUUAUUAGGGAAGAACAUAUGUGUGAGUAACUGUGCACAUCUUGACGGUACCUAAUCAGAAAGCCACGGCUAACUACGUG
rnacentral:rRNA from 1 species